rnacentral:rRNA from 1 species
GACGAACGCUGGCGGCGUGCUUAACACGUGCAAGUCGAACGGAAAGGCCCUGCUUUUGUGGGGUGCUCGAGUGGCGAACGGGUGAGUAACACGUGAGUAACCUGCCCUUGACUUUGGGAUAACUUCAGGAAACUGGGGCUAAUACCGGAUAGGAGCUCCUGCUGCAUGGUGGGGGUUGGAAAGUUUCGGCGGUUGGGGAUGGACUCGCGGCUUAUCAGCUUGUUGGUGGGGUAGUGGCUUACCAAGGGUUUGACGGGUAGCCGGCCUGAGAGGGUGACCGGCCACAUUGGGACUGAGAUACGGCCCAGACUCCUACGGGAGGCAGCAGUGGGGAAUAUUGCACAAUGGGCGGAAGCCUGAUGCAGAAACGCCGCGUGCGGGAUGACGGCCUUCGGGUUGUAAACCGCUUUCGCCUGUGACGAAGCGUGAGUGACGGUAAUGGGUAAAGAAGCACCGGCUAACUACGUG